AGGUGUGUUCACCUCUUCCUGAUGACGACCAUGAACAAGAAGAAAAGGUGGGAACAAGACAGCAGCAUUUAAAAAGUGAGGUUUUGACUUCCUGCGGUGACAUCAUCCUGUGUCUCUACAGUCAGACUCAGAUGGAUACCAAACUUUAAAGUGAUUAAUUCAGAGAUACAGAGAAAGUAAUCUCAUCCACCUGCAUGAAAUGACCCCCCUAAACACAAGGGGAUUAUGGGUAGAAGGAGAUGGAUGCGGUCUGUCAUGGAUGGAAAGCAGAGCUGUAAAAAAAAAAAAAAAAAUUAAGCUGCACCAGAGUUGACACUGGAGUCCCACGAGACGGAAGCGGCUUCACAUUGUGAUGUACCGGCAGAGACGGAGACUAUAGAUAUGGAGAAUAAGGAGGGUUUCCCUGCUGCACGGACUCCUGACCUGCAAGAUGACGGCAGCUUACCAAACUUCUACUACUGCAACAUUUGUUUACAAGCCUCGGUAGACUUCGAAAUGACUCAAAAAGAACCAAAUAUGAAAAAUGCAACAAACUCGACUGCUCCAGAAUCAAUUUGUACAUCGAUUUAAGCCAUUUACCUCCCACUGAUCCACCCACAGGCCACUACUUACAAAAAUAUGAAUAUGUAAUACAUCUAUUAAUAGAUCAAAUUCUUGUUUUUCAGUCAUUGUGGUCAUUUUCAAAAAGAAAAUAUCCAAGUGUCCAAUACACAGGAAAACUGAAAGCAGUUUGGCUGUCCAACAGUGUAUUACCGUAUUAUCUUGAAUAUAAGUAACCCCUCCUUUUCUGACAUCAGGUUUUGGAGAAUGCUUUUUAAGGAUGCAACACAGACGACCAACACUUUUUCAAACAGGAUUAAAAAAACUGUAUGUAAAAAAAAGAAACGAUCAAAAAUAGUGAUUUCUUUUAACAGCCAUUAGCAUAGCUUAG